CCUACGGGAGGCAGCAGUGGGGAAUAUUGCACAAUGGGGGAAACCCUGAUGCAGCGACGCCGCGUGAGUGAAGAAGUAAUUCGUUAUGUAAAGCUCUAUCAGCAGGGAAGAAAAUGUCGGUACCUGAGUAAGAAGCCCUGGCUAACUACGUGCCAGCAGCCGCGGGAAUACGUAGGGGGCAAGCGUUAUCCGGAUUUACUGGGUGUAAAGGGAGCGUAGACGGGUGUGCGAGUCUGGAGUGAAAGGCGAGGGCUCAACCCCCGAAAUGCUCUGGAAACUGUACGGCUGGAGUGCAGGAGAGGUAAGUGGAAUUCCUAGUGUAGCGGUGAAAUGCGUAGAUAUUAGGAGGAACACCAGUGGCGAAGGCGGCUUACUGGACUGUAACUGACGUUGAGGCUCGAAAGCGUGGGGAGCAAACAGGAUUAGAUACCCCAGUAGUC
rnacentral:rRNA from 1 species